rnacentral:misc_RNA from 1 species
AAGUCGUAACAAGGUUUCCGUAGGUGAACCUGCGGAAGGAUCAUUAACACGUUUCGUUCCGAACGUUUUCUGACUCAUUCUAUUUUCCGUGCACAAACAAAACCGGCCUCCUGACCUUUCCUCUCAGUUUAUUCUGUCUGUUGAUCGUGCCAGGCGUUCUUUAGGGUUCAUAGAUCACUUUUUGCUUGUUCUGAAAAAAGAAAUUCUAGUACGAACUAUGUAAACUGCAAUCUCCUUUUGAGCGUUGCCAAACAACCCAAACCCUUAAAUCUAAUUGCUCUGAACUCUAGUUGUUGCGUUAUCUUUAUUGAUUUCACACCAACGAUUAAAAACAAACAACAACUCUUAACAACGGAUAUCUUGGUUCUC